rnacentral:rRNA from 1 species
UACGGAGGAUGCAAGCGUUAUCCGGAAUAAUUGGGCGUAAAGCGUUCGUAGGUGGUUUUGUAAGUCUGCUGUUAAAGCGUGUAGCUCAACUACAUAUAGGCAGUGGAAACUACAAAACUUGAGUGCGUUCGGGGUAGAGGGAAUUCCUGGUGUAGCGGUGAAAUGCGUAGAGAUCAGGAAGAACACCGGUGGCGAAGGCGCUCUACUAGGCCGCAACUGACACUGAGGGACGAAAGCUAGGGGAGCGAAUGGG